rnacentral:lncRNA from 1 species
AAGACGGUUAAAAACAAUCUCAGUCAGAGUUUCACCCUGUCGGAGCAACAAUGACAUCACAUGUGAAGCUCAGAAAAGA